UGAUAGCGAUGAAGCGUGAGGUUGCUGCGAGGAAUCUCGCAGGUGUUCCGUGGAGCGAAUGUCAAGUUAGUAAAACUGGCGACAA
rnacentral:ncRNA from 1 species